UACAGAGGGGGCGAGCGUUGUUCGGAAUUACUGGGCGUAAAGGGCGCGUAGGUGGCCAACUAAGUCAGACGUGAAAUCCCUCGGCUUAACCGGGGAACUGCGUCUGAUACUGGAUGGCUUGAGUUUGGGAGAGGGACGCGGAAUUCCAGGUGUAGCGGUGAAAUGCGUAGAUAUCUGGAGGAACACCGGUGGCGAAGGCGGCGUCCUGGACCAAUACUGACACUGAAACGCGAAAGCCAGGGGAGCAAACGGG
rnacentral:rRNA from 1 species